rnacentral:rRNA from 1 species
GACGAACGCUGGCGGCGUGCUUAACACAUGCAAGUCGAACGGAAAGGCCCCUUUGGGGGUACUCGAGUGGCGAACGGGUGAGUAACACGUGAGUAACCUGCCCUUGACUUCGGGAUAACUUCAGGAAACUGGGGCUAAUACCGGAUAGGAAUCCUUGCUGCAUGGUGGGGGUUGGAAAGCUUCGGCGGUUUUGGAUGGACUCGCGGCUUAUCAGCUUGUUGGUGGGGUAGUGGCUUACCAAGGCUUUGACGGGUAGCCGGCCUGAGAGGGCGACCGGCCACAGUGGGACUGAGAUACGGCCCAGACUCCUACGGGAGGCAGCAGUGGGGAAGAUUGCACAAUGGGCGGAAGCCUGAUGCAGCAACGCCGCGUGCGGGAUGACGGCCUUCGGGUUGUAAACCGCUUUCAGCAGGGGCGAAGCUUGUGGUGACGGUACCUGCAGAAGAAGCACCGGCUAACUACGUG